rnacentral:rRNA from 1 species
GAUGAACGCUGGCGGCGUGCCUAAUACAUGCAAGUCGAGCGAAUGGAUUAAGAGCUUGCUCUUAUGAAGUUAGCGGCGGACGGGUGUGUAACACGUGGGUAACCUGCCCAUAAGACUGGGAUAACUCCGGGAAACCGGGGCUAAUACCGGACAACAUUUUGAACCGCAUGGUUCGAAAUUGAAAGGCGGCUUCGGCUGUCCCUUAUGGAUGGACCCGCGUCGCAUUAGCUAGUUGGUGAGGUAACGGCUCACCAAGGCAACGAUGCGUAGCCGACCUGAGAGGGUGAUCGGCCACACUGGGACUGAGACACGGCCCAGACUCCUACGGGAGGCAGCAGUAGGGAAUCUUCCGCAAUGGACGAAAGUCUGACGGAGCAACGCCGCGUGAGUGAUGAAGGCUUUCGGGUCGUAAAACUCUGUUGUUAGGGAAGAACAAGUGCUAGUUGAAUAAGCUGGCACCUUGACGGUACCUAACCAGAAAGCCACGGCUAACUACGUGCCAGCAGCCGCGGUAA